AACGAACGCUGGCGGCAGGCUUAACACAUGCAAGUCGAGCGAGAUUUUCGGAUCUAGCGGCGGACGGGUGAGUAACGCGUGGGAACGUGCCCUUUGCUACGGAAUAGCCCCGGGAAACUGGGAGUAAUACCGUAUGUGCCCUUUGGGGGAAAGAUUUAUCGGCAAAGGAUCGGCCCGCGUUGGAUUAGGUAGUUGGUGGGGUAAUGGCCUACCAAGCCGACGAUCCAUAGCUGGUUUGAGAGGAUGAUCAGCCACACUGGGACUGAGACACGGCCCAGACUCCUACGGGAGGCAGCAGUGGGGAAUCUUAGACAAUGGGGGCAACCCUGAUCUAGCCAUGCCGCGUGAGUGAUGAAGGCCUUAGGGUUGUAAAGCUCUUUCAGCUGGGAAGAUAAUGACGGUACCAGCAGAAGAAGCCCCGGCUAACUCCGUGC
rnacentral:rRNA from 1 species